AACGGAGGGGGCAAGCGUUAUUCAUCCUUAUUGGGCGUAAAGGGUGCGUAGGCGGUUUGGUAAGUCUUAUGUGAAAUCUACAGGCUCAACUUGUAGUCUGCAUGAGAAACUGCCGGGCUUGAGUAUGGGAGAGGUGAGUGGAAUUCCUGGUGUAGCGGUGAAAUGCGUAGAUAUCAGGAGGAACACCUGUGGCGAAAGCGGCUCACUGGACCAUAACUGACGCUGAUGCACGAAAGCUAGGGGAGCAAACAGG
rnacentral:rRNA from 1 species